rnacentral:rRNA from 1 species
UGGGGAAUAUUGGACAAUGGGCGGAAGCCUGAUCCAGCCAUGCCGCGUGUGUGAAGAAGGCCUUUUGGUUGUAAAGCACUUUAAGCGAGGAGGAGGCUACUAGUACUAAUACUACUGGAUAGUGGACGUUACUCGCAGAAUAAGCACCGGCUAACUCUGUGCCAGCAGCCGCGGUAAUACAGAGGGUGCGAGCGUUAAUCGGAUUUACUGGGCGUAAAGCGUGCGUAGGCGGCUGAUUAAGUCGGAUGUGAAAUCCCUGAGCUUAACUUAGGAAUUGCCUUCGAUACUGGUCAGCUAGAGUAUGGGAGAGGAUGGUAGAAUUCCAGGUGUAGCGGUGAAAUGCGUAGAGAUCUGGAGGAAUACCGAUGGCGAAGGCAGCCAUCUGGCCUAAUACUGACGCUGAGGUACGAAAGCAUGGGGAGCAAACAGG